CGUAGGGUGCGAGCGUUAAUCGGAAUUACUGGGCGUAAAGCGUGCGCAGGCGGUUUGUUAAGAUAGGCGUGAAAUCCCCGGGCUCAACCUGGGAACUGCGCUUAUGACUGGCAAGCUAGAGUACGGCAGAGGGGGUGGAAUUCCACGUGUAGCAGUGAAAUGCGUAGAGAUGUGGAGGAACACCAAUGGCGAAGGCAGCCCCCUGGGUCGAUACUGACGCUCAUGCACGAAAGCGUGGGUAGCAAACAGGAUUAGAUACCCUGGUAGUCCACGCCCUAAACGAUGUCAACUAGGUGUUGGAUGGGUAAAACCAUUUAGUACCGGAGCUAACGCGUGAAGUUGACCGACCUGGGGAUACGGCCGCAAGGUU
rnacentral:rRNA from 1 species